rnacentral:rRNA from 1 species
UACGUAGGCAGCAAGCGUUGUUCGGAGUUACUGGGCGUAAAGGGUGCGUAGGCGGCUUUUUAAGUUUGGUGUGAAAUCUCCCGGCUCAACUGGGAGGGUGCGCCGAAUACUGAGAGGCUAGAGUGUGGGAGAGGAAAGUGGAAUUCCUGGUGUAGCAGUGAAAUGCGUAGAUAUCAGGAGGAACACCGGUGGUGUAAACGGCUUUCUGGACCAUAACUGACGCUGAUGCACGAAAGCGUGGGGAGCAAACAGG